GGUCUUAGAAAAAAGUUUAUUAAAUCACAUUAAAAACAAUGACCAAUGUUUCAGUCCCCGCUCAGGACUUUCCUCAGGGUCAAGGACAACGGUUGUUCUGUUUUUCCUUGACCCUGAGGAAAGUCCCGAGUGGGGACUGAAACGUUGGUCAUUGUUUUUACUGUGAUUUAAUAAACUUUUUUCUAAGACC